CAACAGCAAGCCAUGUGAGGAGAUACUUGCUCAAAUGUUUGCUGACUUGAGCCUUACAACCCGCAGAUGGAAAAAGAGAGAGAGAAAGAGAGAGAGAAGAGGACUUAGAAGCAGAACCCAAUUUCACAACUAAUAAUCAUAACAUAUUACGAACAUCCAUCAUAUUGCAGUAGUGUGGUUCUUACCAGUGAAGGACUCCUCACUGUCUGGCCACAGACCAUUGGUCACUUCAAUUAUGGCUGUCCAGACCAGCUCCUUCCAAGAUUUGAGUUCAGGGCACAGCACCAUUCUUUAUCCUCCUGCAGUGUUUUACCUCUGUUCUGUUUCCAAUAAACUUAUCUUGUAUCU